CAUCAGAUGACUGAAGGCAAGUAAUGGUCUCUUAAACCAUGGUAUAGUAAUCUAGCAAUUACUUCUGAUGA
rnacentral:tRNA from 1 species